rnacentral:rRNA from 1 species
GAUGAACGCUGGCGGCGUGCCUAAUACAUGCAAGUCGAGCGAACAGACGAGGAGCUUGCUCCUCUGACGUUAGCGGCGGACGGGUGAGUAACACGUGGAUAACCUACCUAUAAGACUGGGAUAACUUCGGGAAACCGGAGCUAAUAACGGAUAAUAUAUUCAACCGCAUGGUUCAAUAGUGAAAGACGGUUUUGCUGUCACUUAUAGAUGGAUCCGCGCCGCAUUAGCUAGUUGGUAAGGUAACGGCUUACCAAGGCAACGAUGCGUAGCCGACCUGAGAGGGUGAUCGGCCACACUGGAACUGAGACACGGUCCAGACUCCUACGGGAGGCAGCAGUAGGGAAUCUUCCGCAAUGGGCGAAAGCCUGACGGAGCAACGCCGCGUGAGUGAUGAAGGUCUUCGGAUCGUAAAACUCUGUUAUUAGGGAAGAACAAAUGUGUAAGUAACUAUGCACGUCUUGACGGUACCUAAUCAGAAAGCCACGGCUAACUACGUG